AAUCUUGCGCAAUGGGCGAAAGCCUGACGCGGCCAUGCCGUGUGAAUGAUGAAGGUCUUAGGAUUGUAAAAUUCUUUCACCGGGGACGAUAAUGACGGUACCCGGAGAAGAAGCCCCGUCUAACCUCGUGCCAGCAGCCUCGGUAAUACGAAGGGGGCUAGCGUUGCUCGGAAUUACUGGGCGUAAAGGGCGCGUAGGCGGAUCGUUAAGUCAGGGGUGAAAUCCCGGGGCUCAACCUCGGAAUUGCCCUUGAUACUGGCGAUCGUGAGUAUGAGAGAGGUAUGAGGAACUCCGAGUGUAGAGGUGAAAUUCGUAGAUAUUCGGAAGAACACCAGUGGCGAAGGCGACAUACUGGCUCAUUACUGACGCUGAGGCGCGAAAGCGUGGGGAGCAAACA
rnacentral:rRNA from 1 species